UACGGGGGGAGCAAGCGUUGUUCGGAUUUACUGGGCGUAAAGGGCGCGUGGGCGGCCAGCACAAGUCAGUUGUGAAAUCUCCGAGCUUAACUCGGAAAGGUCAACUGAUACUGUGCGGCUAGAGUGCGGAAGGGGCAACUGGAAUUCUUGGUGUAGCGGUGAAAUGCGUAGAUAUCAAGAGGAACACCUGCGGCGAAGGCGGGUUGCUGGGCCGACACUGACGCUGAUGCGCGAAAGCUAGGGGAGCGAACGGG
rnacentral:rRNA from 1 species